rfam:Danio rerio chromosome 17, GRCz11 reference primary assembly.
CUUGUCCUCAUUUGUAAUUCGCUUUGGAUAAAAGCGUCUGCUAAAUGACUAAAU